UACGAAGGGGGCUAGCGUUGCUCGGAAUCACUGGGCGUAAAGGGCGCGUAGGCGGCCGUUCAAGUCGGGGGUGAAAGCCUGUGGCUCAACCACAGAAUGGCCCUCGAUACUGGAUGGCUCGAGACCGGAAGAGGUUGGUGGAACUGCGAGUGUAGAGGUGAAAUCGUAGAUAUUCGCAAGAACACCAGUGGCGAAGGCGGCCAACUGGUCCGGUUCUGACGCUGAGGCGCGAAAGCGGUGGGGAGCAAACAGG
rnacentral:rRNA from 1 species